rnacentral:rRNA from 1 species
CCUACGGGAGGCAGCAGUGAGGAAUAUUGGUCAAUGGGCGCGAGCCUGAACCAGCCAAGUCGCGUGAGGGAAGACGGUCCUAUGGAUUGUAAACCUCUUUUGUCGGGGAGCAAAAGACGCCACGCGUGGCGUUCCGAGAGUACCCGAAGAAAAAGCAUCGGCUAACUCCGUGCCAGCAGCCGCGGUAAUACGGAGGAUGCGAGCGUUAUCCGGAUUUAUUGGGUUUAAAGGGUGCGCAGGCGGAAGAUCAAGUCAGCGGGAAAAUUGAGAGGCUCAACCUCUUCGAGCCGUUGAAACUGGUGUUCUUGAGUGAGUGAGAAGUAGGUGGAAUGAGUGGUGUAGCGGUGAAAUGCAUAGAUAUCACGCAGAACUCCGAUUGCGAAGGCAGUAUACCGGCGCUCAACUGACGCUCAUGCACGAAAGUGUGGGUAUCGAACAGGAUUAGAUACCCUAGUAGUC